rnacentral:rRNA from 1 species
GGGGAAUUUUGCGCAAUGGGCGAAAGCCUGACGCAGCAACGCCGCGUGGGUGAUGAAGGUCUUCGGAUCGUAAAACCCUGUCGUCAGGGACGAAGGUAGGGAGUUUAAUAAACUCUUUGCUUGACGGUACCUGGAGAGGAAGCCCCGGCUAACUCUGUGCCAGCAGCCGCGGUAAUACAGAGGGGGCAAGCGUUAUUCGGAAUUAUUGGGCGUAAAGGGCGCGUAGGCGGUUUUUUAAGUAGGAUGUGUAAUCCCCGGGCUUAACCUGGGAACUGCAUCCUAGACUGGAAGGCUAGAGUACUGGAGAGGGUGGUAGAAUUCCACGUGUAGCGGUGAAAUGCGUAGAGAUGUGGAGGAAUACCAGUGGCGAAGGCGGCCACCUGGACAGUAACUGACGCUGAGGCGCGAAAGUGUGGGUAGCAAAC